GCCUGUGGUCAUGCCACCCUGAACGUGCCCGAUCUCAUCUGAUCUCGGGAGCUAAGCAGGGUCGGGCCUAGUUAGUACUUGGAUGGGAGACCACCUUGGAAUACCAGGUGCUGUAGGCA
rnacentral:rRNA from 1 species